GGUGGGCAGCCUUUUAUUUUAUUUGUCACUAAUUACAGACAUGUUAACAUUGUGUAAUGUUUACCGGUAAAUUCCUAAUCUGUAAUACCACUUGUCUGAUCAUGGGAUACUGUAACACCCACAAAUUUGCAGAAAUGAUGAUUGAAUAACACUACUUUUCACCAUCGAACAAUCUGCAUAACUCGCUAUCAUUUCUACAAGUUUUGGGGUAUAGCAAUAUUCUGCAAUGAGACGAGUAGUAUUGACUGAGAGGUAAUUUACAGAUAAAUCUGACACAGUGUUAGAAUGCCUGUAAUUACUGACAAAUAAAGUAAUAGGCUAUACUGGGACACCUUGCCUGCCUGAGGGAGGCUACCAGCAGAUCAGCUGUUCGGAAUUUCACACCAAGAUUGACGGUAUGUGAGCUGCACUUUCGGCCAGAAGACAUCGAAUGCGAGACCUCCUUCUUCGACGAGAGGACUUUGACCAAAGUCCAAGCCAAGUUGAAGCAUCCAAGACUGCGACAGGGAGUUGUUCCCUCACAACUUCCCAACUGCCCCGCUUAUCUCUCACCGUCACCAGUAUCUGUGUGGGAAUCACCUGAUGAUAGGAGAUCCAGGAUGGAAGAGAUUGCAAUUGAAGAAGCCCUUAAACAGAGUGUUGUUGACCAUGAAGAACUGAAGGAGUGCAGAAAAUUUAGAGAUUUAGAUGAACUGGUCAAAAAAAUUAAAACAUUUAGAUAAGGACUGGAAGAUUAUUGAGAGAGAAGAUUCAGUAGUGGUUUGCCAUGUGACUGCCAACCCUGAGCCCAAAAUUAAAUGUUCAGUAACAAUCAGCAAUUCAAGUAGAGUAAAAGUAUUUUUUGGAAGUGUUGAAUUGGAAAAGCUAGGAAAUUACAAAAUCCCUUCAGAAAUUAAUAGCAUUGACUCCCUGGAAGAAAUUUUAUGUAACCUUCAGGAAUGUGACUUUGAACCAACAUAUGAGUAGCAGGCAGUACUUGUCCUACAGUCUCUAAAUUCAUAUUUCUCCUACAAUUACUCAUUUCCAUCUUGACACAACUGCAAGAAACAAGCACUAAGUACAGAGACAAUUUGAAAUUUAUAUGUGAACAGCUCCACCUUAUGACAAAAAAGAGACUAAGUUAUUCCCCUGAGUUCAUAGUUUUCUCAUCUCUUAUGUAUAACUGCUCCCCCCAAGGUUACAGAUUACUCAGAAAUGUUGGCUACUUGCUCCUCCCAUGUUAUUCAACCAUGCGACUACUGUCUCUUUCUCUUAGCAUGAGUCCAGUACCAGAACAACAAAAUUGUCACUUCCUCUCUUACAUAAAAAAGAAGUUAAAAUUUUUAAACCAAAAUUAUAUGACUGUUUCCCUGAUGAUUGAUGAAAUACACAUUAAGCAAUAUUUUGAUUACAAGGGAGGAAAUGUUGUUGGUUCUGCUUUUAAUUGUGAUGAAGCUGCCAAGAGUGCUUUCGUUUUCAUGAUAAGUAGUGUGUGCUCAAACUUUAAAAAUGUUAUUCAUAUUUUGCCAGUUAGAACUUUAAAAACAUAAAUUCUUUUCACAUUCAUAAAGGACAUUGUAAUUGGCUUGGAAAAAAUUGGAUUCAGAGUGAUAUCCGUGGUGACAGACAAUAACAGCAUUAAUAAGAAGGCCAUGUCAUUCUUUGCUAAUACUCCACAACUUUCCAUAGUAUAUCCUCACCCUUUAUUGAAAUCUAGACCUCUCUUUUUAUUUUUGUUUGAUGCUGUACACUUACUGAAAUGUAUUCGGAAAAACUGGCUUGGCCAAAGAGAUAGUGAAAAAACUAUGAAAUUUCCAUAUUUUCCGAUUGAUGGCUUUAGUCAUACAAAAGAAACUUGUACUGCACCCUUCAACACACUAAAGAAACUUCAUUCUUUGGAAGCCAAUUCACUCCUAAAACAUGCAUACAAACUUAAUCUCAAGUCGUUGUGUCCCUCCAAUUUAGAAAAACAAAAUGUCACAUUGGCUCUACGAAUAUUCAGCGAUUAUGUCACCGAAGCCCUGAGGUCUGUCGGAAAAAAGUACAGCUUGCCUUCUUUUGAAGAUGUUGCAAAUUACAUCUCAAUAAUCAACACUUGGUGGACAAUAAUGAAUGUAAAUUCCCCAUGUAAAGGUAAGCGCCUCAACAACAAGUAUGCGAGUCCACUAACAAAUAAUUCAAGUGAUGAAAGUUUUGCGUUGCUUAACAAAUUUUCUAUUUGGUUAGACCACUGGGAUUCCAUGACAGAAAUCAGGGGAAAAUUAACCAGAGAAACUUUUACAGCUUUAAAACACACUACUAAUGCGAUUAUGGAAUUAACCAGUUACUGCAUUAAGGAGUUAAAUAUGAAUUUUAUAUUAACAUCAAAAUUUCAGACAAAUCAGUUAGAGUUUAGGUUUAGCCAAUACCGCCAACUUGCUGGGUGCAACUAUAAGAUAUCUGUCAGGCAAAUAUUUGAGUGGAAAAAAAAUCUGGUCUGUUUUAAGUUUACCCUUCAAAAACAAGAACAUAACACUGUCAGAAUUUAAAGAAUUUGUAUGGGACAAUGCUGAUGUAAAUUUCAUUUCCGAUGAAGAAAUGUUCCAUAUUGAUGUAACAGAAGAUGAUGUUGAAAAAAGUAUGGAUGUUCUUUCAGUUUUAACAUAUUUGGCAGGUUACUGUUGUUUUUCUGUUUUAAAGAAAAUUAAGUGUGCUUCUUGUAAAACUAUUUUAACUAUCAAUAGCUCUAUUGAGAAUCUACCAAACUAUCAUUAUAUUCAAGGUAUUAGCAGAGGUGCAUUGCUUUAUCCUGAUGAAUAUGUUGUAAAUAUCAUCAUGUACAACUACAUAGUAAUCAAGAAGCUUACAGAAA